UACGGGGGGGGCAAGCGUUGUUCGGAAUUACUGGGCGUAAAGGGCUCGUAGGCGGCCAACUAAGUCAGACGUGAAAUCCCUCGGCUUAACCGGGGAACUGCGUCUGAUACUGGAUGGCUGGAGGUUGGGAGUGGGAUGCGGAAUUCCAGGUGUAGCGGUGAAAUGCGUAGAUAUCUGGAGGAACACCGGUGGCGAAGGCGGCAUCCUGGACCAAUUCUGACGCUGAUGAGCGAAAGCCAGGGGAGCAAACGGG
rnacentral:rRNA from 1 species